AGCAUACAAGGCAUACGGCUCAGUAACGCGUAGUCAACCUAACCUAUGGACGGGAAUAACCUCGGGAAACUGAGAAUAAUGCCCGAUAGAACAUUAUGCCUGGAAUGGUUUAUGUUCCAAAUGAUUUAUCGCCGUAGGAUGGGACUGCGGCCUAUCAGUUUGUUGGUGAGGUAAUGGCCCACCAAGACUAUUACAGGUACGGGCUCUGAGAGGAGUAGCCCGGAGAUAGGUACUGAGACACGGACCCAGGCCCUAUGGGGCGCAGCAGGCGAGAAAACUUUGCAAUGUGCGAAAGCACGACAAGGUUAAUCCGAGUGGUUUCUGCUAAAGAAACCUUUUGUCAGUCCUAGAAACACUGAUGAAUAAGGGGUGGGCAAGUUCUGGUGUCAGCCGCCGCGGUAAAACCAGCACCUCAAGUGGUCAGGAUGAUUAUUGGGCCUAAAGCAUCCGUAGCCGGCUCUGUAAGUUUUCGGUUAAAUCUGUACGCUCAACGUACAGGCUGCCGGGAAUACUGCAGAGCUAGGGAGUGGGAGAGGUAGACGGUACUCGGUAGGAAGGGGUAAAAUCCUUUGAUCUAUUGAUGACCACCUGUGGCGAAGGCGGUCUACCAGAACACGUCCGACGGUGAGGGAUGAAAGCUGGGGGAGCAAACCGGAUUAGAUACCCGGGUAGUCCCAGCUGUAAACUAUGCAAACUCAGUGAUGCAUUGGCUUGUGGCCAAUGCAGUGCUGCAGGGAAGCCGUUAAGUUUGCCGCCUGGGAAGUACGUACGCAAGUAUGAAACUUAAAGGAAUUGGCGGGGGAGCACCACAAGGGGUGAAGCCUGCGGUUCAAUUGGAGUCAACGCCGGA
rnacentral:rRNA from 1 species